GUAGGGAAUCUUGCGCAAUGGGCGAAAGCCUGACGCAGCAACGCCGCGUGGGGGAUGAAGGCCCUCGGGUCGUAAACCCCUUUCAGCAGGGACGAAAAUGACGGUACCUGCAGAAGAAGCGCCGGCCAACUACGUGCCAGCAGCCGCGGUAACACGUAGGGCGCAAGCGUUGUCCGGAUUCAUUGGGCGUAAAGAGCUCGUAGGCGGUUUUGUAAGUCGGGUGUGAAAACUCAGGGCUCAACCCUGAGACGCCACCCGAUACUGCAAUGACUCGAGUCCGGUAGGGGAGCAUGGAAUUCCUGGUGUAGCGGUGAAAUGCGCAGAUAUCAGGAGGAACACCAGUAGCGAAGGCGGUGCUCUGGGCCGGUACUGACGCUGAGGAGCGAAAGCGUGGGGAGCGAACAGGAUUAGAAACCCUGGUAGUCC
rnacentral:rRNA from 1 species